rnacentral:rRNA from 1 species
UACGUAGGGGGCGAGCGUUGUCCGGAAUUACUGGGCGUAAAGAGCUCGUAGGUGGUUUGUCGCGUUGUUCGUGAAAACUCACAACUCAAUUGUGGGCGUGCGGGCGAUACGGGCAGACUGGAGUACUGCAGGGGAGACUGGAAUUCCCGGUGUAGCGGUGAAAUGCGCAGAUAUCGGGAGGAACACCGGUGGCGAAGGCGGUUCUCUGGGCCUUACCUGACACUGAGGAGCGAAAGCGUGGGGAGCGAACAGG